rnacentral:tRNA from 1 species
GCAUCUGUAGUAAAAAUUAUUACAUUUGUUUUCCACACUUAAAGUCCUAGUAUUAGGUUGAUGCA